rnacentral:ncRNA from 1 species
GUAAACCCGAGAACAAAAGUCUUGGUCCUGAACCUAACAUUACCUGUCUCUAAGAUUAUACAUGCAAGUCUCAACAAAACAGUGAGUCGCCCACAGACCAAUAAGCAGAUGGAGCCCAUAUAAGAUACACUAACAGAAUCAUAAGCACAGUUAAACCACGCCUACACAGGAUAUCAGCAGUAACUAAUAUUGGGCAAUAAGCAACCAAAGCUUGACCCAGCUAUAGAGAAAUAAGGCCGGUAAAACUCGUGCCAGCUACCGCGGUUAUACGAGAGGCCUAAGAUAAUGACUACGGCAAAAGUGGCCAGAAAAAGUCAACAAAGCUAAUAAAGAAGCCCUAACUAGCUGUCCAACGCUAACAAAAGACCAAUCCAAACUAUUAGCCAUAAGACAAUUUAAACCACUAAAAUUGGGAGACAAACUAGGAUUAGACACCCUACUAUGCCCAAACGUAACUGGCAUAGCCCGCCAGAUUAGUACGAGCGAAAGCUUAAAACUCAAAGGACUUGACGGCAACCCACAUCAGCCUAGAGGAGCUUGUCCUAUAAUCGACAAUACACGAUAUAACCUUACCACCCAUAGCCAAUCAGUCUAUAUACCGCCGUCGUCAGCUCACCCUGCAAAAGAACAAAAGUGAGCAAAACAGCCACACCCUAAAACGACAGGUCAAAGCGUAGCACAUGGGGUGGGAUGAGAUGAGCUACAUUUUCUAAUAAAGACCACACCACAAACCCAAUGAAAAAGGACAAAAAGGAGGAUUUAGCAGUAAAAUAGGGCAGAAAGCCUAUUUGAACAUAGCACCGGGAUGCGCACAUACCGCCCGUCACCCCCAUCAACAGCAACACAAAAUACAUAAUAAAACAACAAACAAAAGAAGGGGAAAGUCGUAACAAGGUAAGCGUACCGGAAGGUGCGCUUGUAUAC